rnacentral:rRNA from 1 species
GUUUUUUCGUAGGUGAACCUGCGGAAGGAUCAUUG